rnacentral:misc_RNA from 1 species
GACCCCAUGAACGUCACCCGUCGCCGCCUUUUUGGCCUGCUUGCCGGUGCCGCGGUCGCGGUGGGCCUCCCGUCCGUCUGGAUUUCCCGCAUGAAAACCUAUCCCGGCCCGCCCUCCGAUCAUUUCGACGGAACCUAUUUCUUCGACCCCGACGGCUCGCCGCCGAAGAAGCUCUGGGAGGUGCUGCGCUGGCAGAUCACCAAGCAGGCGGCAAAAUGGCCCGAGCGCGCCCCGUCGCCCUAUGCCGAUACGCCGCCGCAGCAGGUCAACGGCAGCAAGGU